GUAUCUAUCGCUUAGAGGUCAAUAGCGAUGAGCUCAUGACUCAUUAUUUCAUAUCAGUAGUUCGAAUCUACUUAGAUACA
rfam:Babesia bovis strain T2Bo apicoplast, complete genome, whole genome shotgun sequence.